GAUGAACGCUAGCGGCAGGCUUAAUACAUGCAAGUCGUGGGGCAGCAGGUUUGUAGCAAUACAGAUGCUGGCGACCGGCAAACGGGUGCGGAACACGUACAGAACCUUCCUUUGAGCGGGGAAUAGCCCAGAGAAAUUUGGAUUAAUACCCCAUAGUAUAAUGAAGUGGCAUCACUUUAUUAUUAAAGAUUUAUCACUCGAAGAUGGCUGUGCGGCUGAUUAGGUAGUUGGCGGGUAAAGGCCCACCAAGCCUGCGAUCAGUAACUGGUGUGAGAGCACGACCAGUCACACGGGCACUGAGACACGGGCCCGACUCCUACGGGAGCAGCAGUAAGGAAUAUUGGUCAAUGGAGGCAACUCUGAACCAGCCAUGCCGCGUGGAGGA
rnacentral:rRNA from 1 species